rnacentral:rRNA from 1 species
GAUGAACGCUGGCGGAGUGCCUAAUACAUGCAAGUCGAGCGAAACGAUGAGGAGGUUGCCCCUUUGACGUUAGAGGCGGACGGGUGAGUACCCAGUGGGUAACAUAACUAUAGGACAGGAAUAACAACAGGAGACAUGAGCUAAAGACGGCUACCAUUUAGAACGGAAUGGUUAUACACUGAAAGAGAGUUUUGCUAUCACUUAUAGAUGUACCGGCGGCGCAUUAGCUAGUCGGUAAGGUAAAGGCUUAACAAGGCAACGUUACGUAUCCGACCUGAGAGGAUGGGCAGCCACCCUGGGACUGAGACACGGUACAGACUCAUAGGGGAGGCAGCAGUAGGGAAUCUUCCGGCAGGGGCGAAGACCUGAGGGAGCAACACCAAGUGAGUGAUGAAGGUCUUCUGAUCGUAAAACGCUGUUAUUAGGGAAGAACAAAUGUGUAAGUAACUGUGCACGUCAUGACGGUACCUAAUCAGAAAGCCACGGCUAAAUACGUG